UUAUGAUUUCGAGCAAGCCGCUAUGGUGAAAUCGGUAGACACGCUGCUCUUAGGAAGCAGUGCUAGAGCAUCUCGGUUCGA
rnacentral:tRNA from 1 species